rnacentral:rRNA from 1 species
AGAUUGAACGCUGGCGGCAGGCCUAACACAUGCAAGUCGAGCGGCAGCACGGGUACUUGUACCUGGUGGCGAGCGGCGGACGGGUGAGUAAUGCCUAGGAAUCUGCCUGGUAGUGGGGGAUAACGCUCGGAAACGGACGCUAAUACCGCAUACGUCCUACGGGAGAAAGCAGGGGACCUUCGGGCCUUGCGCUAUCAGAUGAGCCUAGGUCGGAUUAGCUAGUUGGUGAGGUAAUGGCUCACCAAGGCGACGAUCCGUAACUGGUCUGAGAGGAUGAUCAGUCACACUGGAACUGAGACACGGUCCAGACUCCGUACGGGAGGCAGCAGGUGGGGAAUAUUGGACAAUGGGACGAAAGCCCUAGAUCCAGCCAAUGCCGCGUGUGUGAAGAAGGUCUUCGGAUUGUAAAGCUACUUUAAGUUGGAGGAAGGCAGUUUACCAAUACGUAAGUUGUUUAGACGUUACCGACUAGUAAUAAGUCACCGGUCUAACGUCU